rnacentral:rRNA from 1 species
CCUACGGGGAGCAGCAGUGAGGAAUAUUGGGCAAUGAACGGAAGUCUGAACGAGCGAUGCAGCGUGCAGGAAGACGGUUCUAUGAGUUGUAAACUGCGUUUGUACAAGGGUAAACCUGAAUACGUGUAUUCAGCUGAAAGUACUGUACGAAUAAGGAACGUCUAACGACGUUCCAGCAGCGGCGGGAAUACGGAGGAUCGAAGCGUUGUCUUGAUUUAUUUGGUUUAAAGGGUGCGUAGGCGGAUUGAUAUGUUAGAGGUGAAGUGUCCGAGCUUAACUCUGGAACUGCCUGUAAUACUGUUGAUCUAGAGUGUAGGUGCGGUAGGCGGAAUGUAUGGUGUAGCGGUGAAAUGCUUAGAGAUCAUGCAGAACACCGAUUGCGAAGGCAGCUUACCAAUCU